rnacentral:rRNA from 1 species
CGAAAGCCUGACGGAGCAAGACCGCGUGGGGGAGGAAUGCCUUAGGGUUGUAAACCCCUUUUAUCUGGGAAGAACAAAAUGACGGUACCAGAUGAAUAAGCCUCGGCUAACUCCGUGCCAGCAGCCGCGGUAAUACGGGGGAUGCAAGCGUUAUCCGGAAUUAUUGGGCGUAAAGCGUUCGUAGGCGGUUUUAUAAGUCUGCUGUCAAAGUGCGGAGCUCAACUCCGUAAGAGCAGUGGAAACUGUGAGACUUGAGUGUGGUAGGGGUAGAGGGAAUUCCCAGUGUAGCGGUGAAAUGCGUAGAGAUCGGGAAGAACAUCGGUGGCGAAAGCGCUCUACUGGACGGCAACUGACACUCAGGGACGAAAGCUAGGGGAGCG